GACGAACGCUGGCGGCGUGCCUAACACAUGCAAGUCGAACGGAGAUAUGAUUUCGGUUGUAUCUUAGUGGCGAACGGGUGAGUAACGCGUGAGCAACCUGACUCUUAGAGGGGGAUAACACUCGGAAACGGGUGCUAAUACCGCAUAAGACCACGACAUGGCAUCAUGACGAGGUCAAAGGAGCAAUCCGCUGAGAGAGGGGCUCGCGUCCCAUUAGAUAGAUGGCGGGGUAACGGCCCACCAUGUCAACGAUGGGUAGCCGAGCUGAGAGGCUGAUCGGCCACACUGGAACUGAGACACGGUCCAGACUCCUACGGGAGGCAGCAGUGGGGAAUAUUGGGCAAUGGGCGCAAGCCUGACCCAGCAACGCCGCGUGAGGGAAGAAGGCUUUCGGGUUGUAAACCUCUGUCCUUGGUGACGAAAAAAAUGACGGUAGCCAAGGAGGAAGCCCCGGUAACUACGUG
rnacentral:rRNA from 1 species